rnacentral:rRNA from 1 species
CGGGCGCCUCGAUGUCACCGACUUCGGUCGGGCGGCACGGGUCCCGUCCGUCGACGUCCGCGGACGGCGUGCACUUCUCCCUCAGUAAUACAUCGCGACCCGUUCGAUGUCGGUCUAAGCGCCGUUCGGGAGCCCCACGGCGACUCUCGGGUCACCGUGGGACCGCGACGUGCGCCGACCGGCCGUCGGACGGUAUCACUAAUCGAAUCGCGCACGCGUUUUUGCGCGUCCGGCCCGACGCAAGGCAACGUCGUAUCCUCCGACGUCCUGCCCGAGUGCGGACGUCGGUGCGGCGCGCCUGUCGUCGCUGCCGUGCAGUCUCGGACAUGUGCGCGUCUCGGUCUGCGAUGAUUCAGUUUCGGGCACUCGCAGGA